rnacentral:ncRNA from 2 species
CGACGCCGUGCGGGAGAGUUCCGGGCACUGCAAGCACAGAAACAUCGUGUGUGCAGGAGUUCGGGCGCCGAAGGAGCAACACCUCCCCGUCAAUCUCUCAGGCAGACAGGACCGUGCGGGCUCC